rnacentral:rRNA from 1 species
GUGUCAAGGCCCGGGAACGUAUUCACCGCGACAUGCUGAUUCGCGAUUACUAGCGAUUCCGACUUCGUGUAGGCGAGUUGCAGCCUACAGUCCGAACUGAGAACGGCUUUAAGAGAUUUGCUUGGCCUCGCGACUUCGCGACUCGUUGUACCGUCCAUUGUAGCACGUGUGUAGCCCAGGUCAUAAGGGGCAUGAUGAUUUGACGUCAUCCCCACCUUCCUCCGGUUUGUCACCGGCAGUCUCACUAGAGUGCCCAACUGAAUGCUGGCAACUAAUAACAAGGGUUGCGCUCGUUGCGGGACUUAACCCAACAUCUCACGACACGAGCUGACGACAACCAUGCACCACCUGUCAUUCCGUCCCCGAAGGGAACGCCUAAUCUCUUANNUUGGCGAAAGAUGUCAAGACCUGGUAAGGUUCUUCGCGUAGCUUCGAAUUAAACCACAUGCUCCACCGCUUGUGCGGGCCCCCGUCAAUUCCUUUGAGUUUCAACCUUGCGGUCGUACUCCCCAGGCGGAGUGCUUAUUGCGUUAGCUGCAGCACUGAAGGGCGGAAACCCUCCAACACUUAGCACUCAUCGUUUACAGCGUGGAC